UUUUGCACGCAUCGCAAAGCACAAAGAACCUCUUGCGGAAGCGAAGAAAAAAGGGUUUUCCCUUCCUGCGCUCGUGCUCGUCUCGGUCCUCCCUUUCCUCUUCUUCCAUGGCGGUGAUACGGGAUCUUUACUGAUCUUGUUGAGCCACCUCUCCUCCUUUCUCGAUGCGAUCACACGCUCUCAGAGCUCUUCCUUUGUUGCAUGUUUUGGCUGUGCAGGACGUGGAAGAAGGAUUCGGGUGCUGAGGCAGCAUAAGACAUCAAAUAAGCUUCAGAAAGAUUCAAGGAUAGGAAGAGACAUGACGGCAAUGAAGGCUGUCAUAGAUUCAAUCUCUCUCUCUCUUUCUCUCUCUCCAAUAAUGGCUUUUAGUGAGAUGCAGCUGUGCCUUCAUCUCAAAAUCUGCAGAAGAAAUGCUCUUGAUUAUGUUCGCUGAACUCAAUGUCAAGGCCACAAUCCACUGUAGGAUUUGCUUCAGAGCUCCAGAACUCACCCAUCAUGCUUAUAAUCUCGAUGUGGAUUUGACUCA